rnacentral:rRNA from 1 species
GACGAACGCUGGCGGCGUGCCUAAUACAUGCAAGUAGGACGCAGUUGCGAACGGGUGAGUAACGCGUAGGUAACUGCCUAUUAGAGGGGGAUAACUAUUGGAAACGAUAGCUAAUACCGCAUACUAGUAGCUGGACCUGCGUUGUAUUAGCUAGUAGGUAGGGUAAUGGCCUACCUAGGCGACGAGACAUAGCCGACCGGAGAGGGUGAGCGGCCACACUGGGACUGAGCACAGGCCCAGACCCCCACGGUGGGCAGCAGUAGGGAAACUUCGGAAAUGGGGGGAACCCUGACCGAGCAACGCCGCGUGAGUGAAGAAGGUUUUCGGAUCGGAAAGCUCUGUUGUUAAGGAAGCGGUACUUAACCAGAAAGGGACGGCUAACUACGUGCCAGCAGCCGCGGUAAUUC